rnacentral:rRNA from 1 species
UGGGGAAUUUUGGACAAUGGGCGAAAGCCUGAUCCAGCCAUGCCGCGUGAGUGAAGAAGGCCUUCGGGUUGUAAAGCUCUUUUAGUCGGAAAGAAAGAGUUGCAAUGAAUAAUUGUGAUUUAUGACGGUACCGACAGAAAAAGCACCGGCUAACUACGUGCCAGCAGCCGCGGUAAUACGUAGGGUGCGAGCGUUAAUCGGAAUUACUGGGCGUAAAGCGUGCGUAGGUGGUUGUUUAAGUCUGAUGUGAAAGCCCUGGGCUCAACCUGGGAAUGGCAUUGGAAACUGGGCAGCUAGAGUGCGGUAGAGGGUAGUGGAAUUCCCGGUGUAGCAGUGAAAUGCGUAGAGAUCGGGAGGAACAUCUGUGGCGAAGGCGACUGCCUGGACCAGCACUGACACUGAGGCACGAAAGCGUGGGGAGCAAACA